AGUGGCGGACGGGUGAGUAAUGUCUGGGAAACUGCCUGAUGGAGGGGGGAUAACUACUGGAAACGGUAGCUAAUACCGCAUAACGUCGCAAGACCAAAGAGGGGGACCUUCGGGCCUCUUGCCAUCGGAUGUGCCCAGAUGGGAUUAGCUAGUAGGUGGGGUAACGGCUCACCUAGGCGACGAUCCCUAGCUGGCUGAGAGGAUGACCAGCCACACUGGAACUGAGACACGGUCCAGACUCCUACGGGAGGCAGCAUG
rnacentral:rRNA from 1 species